rnacentral:rRNA from 1 species
GUACCCCGAGGAAAAGAAAUCAACCGAGAUUCCGAAAGUAGCGGCGAGCGAAAUUGGACUAGCCCUUAAGCUUUACACGCGUUAGACGAACGGUCUGGAAAGUCCGACGAUACAGGGUGAUAGUCCCGUAGUUGACGACGUGUGUUCAGUGAAAUCGAGUAGGGCGGGACACGUGAUAUCCUGUCUGAAUAUGGGGGGACCAUCCUCCAAGGCUAAAUACUACUGACUGACCGAUAGUGAACCAGUACCGUGAGGGAAAGGCGAAAAGAACCCCUGUGAG